rnacentral:rRNA from 1 species
GGCCAAGUUUUUAAGGGCGCACGGUGGAUGCCUUGGUACCAGGAACCGAUGAAGGACGUGGGAGGCCACGAUAGUCCCCGGGGAGCCGUCAACCAGGCUUUGAUCCGGGGGUUUCCGAAUGGGGAAACCCGGCAGUCGUCAUGGGCUGUCACCCACAUCUGAACACAUAGGGUGUGUGGAGGGAACGCGGGGAAGUGAAACAUCUCAGUACCCGCAGGAAGAGAAAACAACCGUGAUUCCGGGAGUAGUGGCGAGCGAAACCGGAUGAGGCCAAACCGUAUACGUGUGAGACCCGGCAGGGGUUGCGUGUACGGGGUUGUGGGAUCUCUCUUUCACAGUCUGCCGGCUGUGAGACGAGUCAGAAACCGUUGGUGUAGGCGAAGGACAUGCGAAAGGUCCGGCGUAGAGGGUAAGACCCCCGUAGUCGAAACAUCAACGGCUCGUUUGAGAGACACCCAAGUAGCACGGGGCCCGAGAAAUCCCGUGUGAAUCUGGCGGGACCACCCGCUAAGCCUAAAUAUUCCCUGGUGACCGAUAGCGGAUAGUACCGUGAGGGAAUGGUGAAAAGUACCGCGGGAGCGGAGUGAAAUAGUACCUGAAACCGUGUGCCUACAAGCCGUGGGAGCGUCGCUCAUCAAGUUUACUUGGUGGGUCGUGACUGCGUGCCUUUUGAAGAAUGAGCCUGCGAGUUUGCGGUGUGUUGCGAGGUUAACCCGUGUGGGGAAGCCGUAGCGAAAGCGAGUCCGAACAGGGCGAUAUAGUAGCGCGCUCAAGACCCGAAGCGGAGUGAUCUAGCCAUGGGCAGGUUGAAGCGGCUGUAAGAGGUCGUGGAGGACCGAACCCACCAGGGUUGAAAACCUGGGGGAUGACCUGUGGUUAGGGGUGAAAGGCCAAUCAAACUCCGUGAUAGCUGGUUCUCCCCGAAAUGCAUUUAGGUGCAGCGUCGUGUGUUUCUUGCCGGAGGUAGAGCACUGGAUAGGCGAUGGGCCCUACCGGGUUACUGACCUUAGCCAAACUCCGAAUGCCGGUAAGUGAGAGCACGGCAGUGAGACUGUGGGGGAUAAGCUCCAUGGUCGAGAGGGAAACAGCCCAGAGCAUCGACUAAGGCCCCUAAGCGUACGCUAAGUGGGAAAGGAUGUGGAGUCGCAGAGACAACCAGGAGGUUGGCUUAGAAGCAGCCACCCUUGAAAGAGUGCGUAAUAGCUCACUGGUCUAGUGAUUCCGCGCCGACAAUGUAGCGGGGCUCAAGCGUACCGCCGAAGUCGUGUCAUUUCAGCAUAUAGGGCCAACGCCCGCUGGGAUGGGUAGGGGAGCGUCGUGUGCCGGGUGAAGCCGCAGCGGAAGCUAGUGGUGGACGGUUCACGAGUGAGAAUGCAGGCAUGAGUAGCGAUACACACGUGAGAAACGUGUGCGCCGAUUGACUAAGGGUUCCUGGGUCAAGCUGAUCUGCCCAGGGUAAGUCGGGACCUAAGGCGAGGCCGACAGGCGUAGUCGAUGGAUAACCGGUUGAUAUUCCGGUACCCGCUGUGAAGCGUCAAACAGUGAACCAGGCGAUGCUAAGUCCGUGAAGCCGCCCUGGAGCCUUCGGGCAAAGGGGAGUGGUGGAGCCGACGGACCAGACCUGUAGUAGGUGAGUGAUGGGGUGACGCAGGAAGGUAGUCCAGCCCGGGCGGUGGUUGUCCCGGGGUAAGGGUGUAGGACGUCAGGUAGGUAAAUCCGCCUGGCAAUAGUCUGAGACCUGAUGCCGAGCCGAUUGUGGUGAAGUGGAUGAUCCUAUGCUGUCGAGAAAAGCCUCUAGCGAGUUUCAUGGCGGCCCGUACCCUAAACCGACUCAGGUGGUCAGGUAGAGAAUACCGAGGCGUUCGGGUGAACUAUGGUUAAGGAACUCGGCAAAAUGCCCCCGUAACUUCGGGAGAAGGGGGGCCAUCACUGGUGAUCCGUUUUACACGGUGAGCUGGGGGUGGCCGCAGAGACCAGCGAGAAGCGACUGUUUACUAAAAACACAGGUCCGUGCGAAGCCGUAAGGCGAUGUAUACGGACUGACGCCUGCCCGGUGCUGGAACGUUAAGGGGACCGGUUAGUGCACUUUCGGGUGUGCGAAGCUGAGAACUUAAGCGCCAGUAAACGGCGGUGGUAACUAUAACCAUCCUAAGGUAGCGAAAUUCCUUGUCGGGUAAGUUCCGACCUGCACGAAUGGCGUAACGACUUCUCGACUGUCUCAACCAUAGGCCCGGUGAAAUUGCACUACGAGUAAAGAUGCUCGUUUCGCGCAGCAGGACGGAAAGACCCCGGGACCUUUACUACAGUUUGAUAUUGGUGUUCGGUUCGGCUUGUGUAGGAUAGCUGGGAGACUGUGAAGUCAUGGCGCCAGCCAUGGUGGAGUCGUCGUUGAAAUACCAGUCUGGUCGUGCUGGAUGUCUAACCUGGGUCCGUGAUCCGGAUCAGGGACAGUGUCUGAUGGGUAGUUUAACUGGGGCGGUUGCCUCCUAAAGAGUAACGGAGGCGCCCAAAGGUUCCCUCAGCCUGGUUGGCAAUCAGGUGUUGAGUGUAAGUGCACAAGGGAGCUUGACUGUGAGACCGACGGGUCGAGCAGGGACGAAAGUCGGGACUAGUGAUCCGGCGGUGGCUUGUGGAAGCGCCGUCGCUCAACGGAUAAAAGGUACCCCGGGGAUAACAGGCUGAUCUUCCCCAAGAGUCCAUAUCGACGGGAUGGUUUGGCACCUCGAUGUCGGCUCGUCGCAUCCUGGGGCUGGAGUCGGUCCCAAGGGUUGGGCUGUUCGCCCAUUAAAGCGGUACGCGAGCUGGGUUUAGAACGUCGUGAGACAGUUCGGUCCCUAUCCGCUGUGCGCGUAGGAAUAUUGAGAAGGGCUGUCCCUAGUACGAGAGGACCGGGACGGACGAACCUCUGGUGUGCCAGUUGUCCUGCCAAGGGCAUGGCUGGUUGGCUACGUUCGGGAGGGAUAACCGCUGAAAGCAUCUAAGCGGGAAGCCUGCUUCGAGAUGAGUAUUCCCACCAACUAGAUUGGUUAAGGCUCCCAGUAGACGACUGGGUUGAUAGGCCGGAUGUGGAAGCCUCGUAAGGGGUGAAGCUGACCGGUACUAAUAGGCCGAGGGCUUGUCCUC